rnacentral:lncRNA from 1 species
ACCUAUUUUCCCCGAGUUCAGUGACGAUGACGACGAUGACGAUGAAGAUGAUACAGAAGCUCUUUUGGCAGAGCUUGAACAGAUAAAGAAAGAAAAAGCAGAGGAGAAACUUCGAAAAGUAAGUAUAACUAGAUGCUCGUAGUUUAUUUACUUGUAACCUUUUUUGUGGUUGCAUAGAUUUCAUUGCUCGAGGUUAAUAUUGUUAUAUAGUUGGAACUUGAAACUCUAUCUCUCGUAGUUUAUUUACUUGUAACCUUUUAUAUCAAUUUUGUGGUUGCAUAGAUUUCAUUUCUCGAGGUUAAUAUUAUUAUAUAGU